rnacentral:rRNA from 1 species
ACAAAAACAUCGCCUCUUGAUUUUCAUAAGAGGUCCAGCCUGCCCAGUGACUCUGUUCAACGGCCGCGGUAUCCUAACCGUGCGAAGGUAGCGUAAUCACUUGUUCUUUAAAUGUGGACUAGUAUGAAUGGCACCACGAAGGUUAUACUGUCUCCUUUUUCUAAUCAGUGAAACUAAUCUCCCCGUGAAGAAGCGGGGAUAAAAAUAUAAGACGAGAAGACCCUAUGGAGCUUUAAACAAAAUAGCACUUGCCACAUAACAUACGAUUUCCUGAAUUUUUUACUUCACCAAGCAAUAUGACUAUAAGUUUUUGGUUGGGGUGACCGCGGAGCACAAUGUAACCUCCACGCUGAAAGAAUACUAUUCUAAGCCAAGAUCUACGCAUCUAAGCAUCAACACAUUGACAUCCAUUGACCCAAUACAUUUGAGCAACGAACCAAGUUACCCUAGGGAUAACAGCGCAAUCCACUUCAAGAGCCCCUAUCGACAAGUGGGUUUACGACCUCGAUGUUGGAUCAGGGUAUCCUAGUGGUGCAGCCGCUACUAAUGGUUCGUUUGUUCAACGAUUAAAACC